ACGGGAGGCAGCAGUAGGGAAUUUUCGGCAAUGGGCGAAAGCCUGACCGAGCAACGCCGCGUGAACGAAGAAGUAUUUCGGUAUGUAAAGUUCUUUUAUUGGGGAAGAAAAGUUAAGAUUGACGGUACCCAAUGAAUAAGCACCGGCUAACUACGUGCCAGCAGCCGCGGUAAUACGUAGGGUGCGAGCGUUAUCCGGAAUUAUUGGGCGUAAAGGGUGCGUAGAUGGCAAUGUAAGUCAUUUGUGAAAGUUCUGGGCUCAACCCAGUGAUGCAAAUGAUACUGCAUAGCUAGAGUAUGGAAGAGGCAAGUGGAACUCCAUGUGUAGCGGUAAAAUGCGUAAAUAUAUGGAAGAACACCAGUGGCGAAGGCGGCUUGCUAGUCCGAUACUGACAUUGAGGCACGAAAGCGUGGGGAGCAAACAGGAUUAGAUACCCUGGUA
rnacentral:rRNA from 1 species